rnacentral:rRNA from 1 species
GAUGAACGCUGGCGGCGUGCCUAAUACAUGCAAGUCGAGCGAACGGACGAGAAGCUUGCUUCUCUGAUGUUAGCGGCGGACGGGUGAGUAACACGUGGAUAACCUACCUAUAAGACUGGGAUAACUUCGGGAAACCGGAGCUAAUACCGGAUGAUAUUUUGAACCGCAUGGUUCAAAAGUGAAAGACGGUCUUGCUGUCACUUAUAGAUGGAUCCGCGCUGCAUUAGCUAGUUGGUAAGGUAACGGCUUACCAAGGCAACGAUGCAUAGCCGACCUGAGAGGGUGAUCGGCCACACUGGAACUGAGACACGGUCCAGACUCCUACGGGAGGCAGCAGUAGGGAAUCUUCCACAAAGGGCGAAAGCCUGACGGAGCAACGCCGCGUGAGUGAUGAAGGUCUUCGGAUCGUAAAACUCUGUUAUUAGGGAAGAACAUAUGUGUAAGUAACUGUGCACAUCUUGACGGUACCUAAUCAGAAAGCCACGGCUAACUACGUG